ACGGGGGGUGCAAGCGUUGUUCGGAAUCAUUGGGCGUAAAGCGCGCGCAGGCGGCUUGGUAAGUCAGAUGUGAAAUCCCUGGGCUUAACCCCGGAAGUGCAAUUGAUACUGACUGGCUAGAGUAUGGUAAAGGAAAGUGGAAUUCCUAGUGUAGAGGUGAAAUGCGUAGAUAUCAGGAGGAACACCGAUGGCGAAGGCAACUUACUGGCCCGAUACUGACGCUGAGGCGCGAAAGCGUGGGGAUCAAACAG
rnacentral:rRNA from 1 species